CCGUCCCAAAAUUCUUGUCUUAAAUUUGUCUAAAUACGGAUGUAUCUAGUUACAUUUUAGUGUUAGAUACAUCUGUAUCUAAACAAAUGUAAGACAAGAAUUUUGGGACGG
rnacentral:pre_miRNA from 1 species